rnacentral:rRNA from 1 species
CGCAAGCCUGAUCCAGCCAUACCGCGUGUGUGAAGAAGGCUUUCGGGUUGUAAAGCACUUUAAGUAAGGAGAAAAAGAUUGUAGUUAAUACCUGCAAUCCGUGAUGUUACUUACAGAAUAAGGACCGGCUAAUUCCGUGCCAGCAGCCGCGGUAAUACGGAAGGUCCAAGCGUUAAUCGGAAUUACUGGGCGUAAAGCGCGCGUAGGUGGUUUUUUAAGUUGGAUGUGAAAGCCCUGGGCUCAACCUAGGAACUGCAUCCAAAACUAGAUGACUAGAGUACGAAAGAGGGAAGUAGAAUUCACAGUGUAGCGGUGGAAUGCGUAGAUAUUGUGAAGAAUACCAAUGGCGAAGGCAGCUUCCUGGUUCUGUACUGACACUGAGGUGCGAAAGCGUGGGUAGCGAACAGGAUUAGAUACCCUGGUAGUCCACGCCGUAAACGAUGACAACUAGCUGUUGGGAGACAAGAUCUCUCAGUGGCGCAGCUAACGCUUUAAGUUGUCCGCCUGGGGAGUACGGCCGCAAGGUUAAAACUCAAAUGAAUUGACGGGGACCCGCACAAGCGGUGGAGCAUGUGGUUUAAUUCGAUGCAACGCGAAAAACCUUACCUACUCUUGACAUACUUGGAAGCUCUUGUAAUGAGAGUGUGCUUUUAGAGCCAAGAUACAGGUGCUGCAUGGCUGUCGUCAGCUCGUGUCGUGAGAUGUUGGGUUAAGUCCCAUAACGAGCGCAACCCUUACCCUUAUUUGCCAGCGGUUCGGCCGGGAACUAUAAGGGGACUGCCGGUGACAAACCGGAGGAAGGUGAGGACGACGUCAAGUCAUCAUGGCCCUUACGAGUAGGGCUACACACGUGCUACAAUGGGGAAUACAGACGGACGCUAAAGCGUGAGCUGGUGCUAAUCCUAAAAAAUUUCUCGUAGUCCGGAUUGCAGUCUGCAACUCGACUGCAUGAAGUCGGAAUCGCU